rnacentral:rRNA from 1 species
UGGGGAAUCUUGCGCAAUGGGCGAAAGCCUGACGCAGCCAUGCCGCGUGAAUGAUGAAGGUCUUAGGAUUGUAAAAUUCUUUCACCGGGGACGAUAAUGACGGUACCCGGAGAAGAAGCCCCGGCUAACUUCGUGCCAGCAGCCGCGGUAAUACGAAGGGGGCUAGCGUUGCUCGGAAUUACUGGGCGUAAAGGGAGCGUAGGCGGACAUUUAAGUCAGGGGUGAAAUCCCGGGGCUCAACCUCGGAAUUGCCUUUGAUACUGGGUGUCUUGAGUGUGAGAGAGGUAUGUGGAACUCCGAGUGUAGAGGUGAAAUUCGUAGAUAUUCGGAAGAACACCAGUGGCGAAGGCGACAUACUGGCUCAUUACUGACGCUGAGGCUCGAAAGCGUGGGGAGCAAACAGGAUUAGAUACCCUGGUAGUCCACGCCGUAAACGAUGAUUGCUAGUUGUCGGGAUGCAUGCAUUUCGGUGACGCAGCUAACGCAUUAAGCAAUCCGCCUGGGGAGUACGGUCGCAAGAUUAAAACUCAAAGGAAUUGACGGGGUCAUAGCUGUUUCCUG